AACGGAUUAGAUCUGGCCAUAUAUAAACAGAUCUGGCCAGAUCUUUAAAUUGUCUCUAUCUGACGAGAUCUGGCCAGAUAUAAUCAGAUCUGACCAGAUCUGGUCAAAUUUUAGUAUUUA